GAUUAAUAUUUUAGAUGAAUGUCAAGUGUAAUUGUGUGCGAGUAGAUUCCUUAAUUUAUAAUCAUUAUAUGUUAGUUAAUCAUGUUGAACGAAAAUGAACUUCAUAAAUAUGGAAUAAUGUAUUUGACUAAGACAGACAAGAAAAUGAAGAUGAACAAAGAGAAAUGCAAGAAGAGUCUAAAAGUGAUUAAAGACGGAUUUUAUCUUUAUUAUUUCAGAUGAUGGGAUGUUUCGUUUAUACAUAAAAAAAUUACUAUUUGUAACUAUUAUAUUUUUGUAAAAG
rnacentral:lncRNA from 1 species